AUGUGUUGUGAUGUAUUUAAUGUGUAGCCCAAGACAACUCUUUUUCCAAUGUGGCCCAGAGACCCUGACCCUCCUGCUAGGAGAGCAGGGGUCUGUCCUACAGGUCACUUCACUAGUGCUGUCCAGCACCCUGCAUGAGCAAGCUGGCUAAAAUAUUAUUUGCAACCACCAGAGAAGAGUAUACAAGUCAUCUUGGCAGCGCUAAGCUGGGAGAUAAAACUCCGCAGAAUCCAAAACGUUUAUUCAUUUUCGCAAUGAUCCUGCUGCUGGAGAUGGACCCAUUUUUCUCAACCAACUUUCCCAACUGUCUCCAGGAUUUCAUGUUGGCUAUUCUGUAAUGGCCUAUCUUUGAAUUUCCUGUCCUGUCUGCUGGUCUUCCCAUCUUCUGUGAACCCCAGAGAAUGCUCUUCAUUUCAGGAAAUACAUUCUAUAGCUCUGAUUUUUAAAAAACAAAAUCAU